GAACGAUGUUUGUACAACGCCACGCCACUAUGAACUGCAGGGCGUGUCCUACAUGUUACCAGCGACCUUGCUCCGAGGUAGCGAGGGCUACAUUAAGGUUGUCAACACUGGGACCGUCAAUGUUGACUGGGAAGCCGGCGAGAUUUUAGCUCGAGCCGAGAGCUAUGACGAAUUAGCCAGCCAGCCUAGCCAGGAUGGCCGACUGUAACGCCACACCAUAUUGCCUAGCCGAGCCUUAUGACGCCACGCCAUAGCCAAGCGAAGCCAAGCCAAAGCCAAAGCCAUACGGUUCGAUAACGAUCUUCCGGUUGUGAGUGACAUUACGUUCCACCGCCAAAUAAAGAGGGUAUAAAUGAGCCGAUUGUUGAUUUAUGUGAUUAUUCUUGUGUUAGCAUUCAAAUAAGUAGAAACGCUGCCAGUUUGUAUAAGUGAUUAUUAAUAAAGUAAUAAUUGUAUAAAGUG